rnacentral:rRNA from 1 species
GGAGAAGUAAAUAAGAGCGUACGGGGGAUGCCUAGGCUCUCAGAGGCGAUGAAGGACGUGAUAAGCUGCGAUAAGCUUCGGUAAUUGGCACAUACGAGUUAACCCGAAGAUUUCCGAAUGAGACAACUCACUAUAUUGAAGAUAUAGUAUCUGUAAGGAGGCCAACCCGGGGAACUGAAACAUCUAAGUACCCGGAGGAAAAGAAAAUAAUAAUGAUUCCGCAAGUAGUGGCGAGCGAACGUGG